CCCACUGGUUCAGACAGAAGCCUCUGGGAGAGCCCUCCAGAGUCCACCUUGAAGGCUUCAUUCCUUCUACCCAGAGCAUCUCCGUGGAGAGGAAGAAAAAGCAUCAACGAAAUGAGGUGCCCCAGCGGUUCUGGGGAGCAAUUCCUCUCUUCAUAUGACCAUUUGGGAAACCCCCAGUGAGAUGGAGUGUGCUUUUAAGCCAUGAAAACCAUGCACAUCAGCCCCACCACAGAGCCUGUGUGAUUUCAUCUUAGAUGGUAUCUUGGAAGCAAGACCUACCUGGACUUUUUAGAAAUCUAAUCUAAUCAUUUUCUGUCUUGGAGUAGUAAUGGAGGGAGCCCCAUGAAGAGUGGAGUCUGCCUUCAGGAGCAGACUCUGCCUGGCAUCCCAGAGGAGUCUGUGUCUUGAAGCAGUCAGUGCUCCCAGGGCUGAGCCGCUGGCCCUGAACAACCAUUCCUUGAAUAAAGAAAUAAAGAGUGAGGCUAACUCAAGACCCAUCCUGGCUCCAUAACUCUAUUUCCAAAGUCUUUUUUUUUUUUUUUUUUUUUUUUUGCUUAACAUUGCAGGGCACCUGCUCUAUGCUCACUGCUGGGAUCACACAGGGGAAUGAGUAGAGCUCUCCCUGGCCUCAGACACCCCCACUUAGUGAGAAGGUUACCUGUGGGGACAACUCCCUUGCCAGGUGAUAAUAGCUAUGAUGGAAGCACCCACAGAAUGUUUGAAAAGAUUUGGCAAAAGUGGGGCCACAGUGUUGCCUUUGGCAACAGCUAGGUGAAGCUGAUCAGCAGCCAUCCCUUUGGGUAGGUCCAUGCUCCAUUUCUCCACUGUCCUCACCAAGGCCAGACUAGGUCAGGCAAACAAGGCCCAAGAAGCCAACUUUAAGGAGGCACUCAUCUCCCAGUGCUAGCCUUGUACUUGCAAAGCCCCAAGAGUGAGUGCUUCCUUAAAACAUGCAUCCUGGGCACCUUCCUAGCCUUGCCCUAGCCCUAGUCCUGACCCUGGUCUCCAACACUCCCUACUGCCUCCCCAACAGUGAGGCCAUGUAUAAAUGGUCACAUCCUGCUUGCUCUGUUGUUUGUCUACUGCUAGAGUUAAGAGGAAUGUGAAUUUUCUGGUAUGCUUGUCUCCAUCAAAACUGAGUAAACAAAAUAUAAACCAAAAAGAGUCCUGGACUUCACCUGCCUGAUUCACCUAUUACAUUCCCCAUGGUCUUGAGUUUGAGAACCUGAGGUUCUCAGCCUGAUUGCAAGGUCCUUGAGUGCCAAGGGCAAAUGUCCCAUAGUAGGAACUUUAGUCAGAGGAGCAAUGGGAACAAAUGUCUUUUAGAAAAAUAACCCUUGCUUUGGUGGUCUGAGAGCUGAUGUGGACUGAGAAAUUGAGAGUCUCCUGCAAAGGUGAGGGCAUAGAGAGGGGAGGGUGAGGGCAGCUGUGCUCACUGCAGGAGUCAAAACAAGGUUGGAUGAGGUAGGACUUAAGAAUUACUAGAUGGCUCUAUCAAGACUUCCUGGUCAGUGGUGAGGCUUUAAACAAGAAAGGAGUACGGAAGAAAGUGGACAUUUGCUUUGGGUAAGCUGAGUUUGAAGUCAGGACAUCAGAGUAUACCGGAAUCACAAGGACCAUUGCUGAGAGGACUCCCACCACCAUACAGACCCCUCCCUCUACUCUGGGCUCUCUCCAGGGCAGGAGUCCCACAUGGCUUCUCAAGUGUGCCUCUGCUGGAGCCCAGCAUAAAAUAUCCCCCAGCCGGGCAGCCAGGUUAACUUAUUGUUAGCAGGCUGAAAAGGAGGCUGUUAUUUCACAGCAGAGAUAAAAGUUAAUCACAGAUUAGGACUGCCCAGAAAAUAUUGAUGACUUCAUCCACCUGAGUACUAGCCUGGGGGAAGUGUUCACCACUCCUUAGUUGUCAGACCAGUCCAGCCAGUUCCCUGACUCCCUCUUUAAAAUGCAGGCCCAGGCUUUAACAAAAGCCUGGACCCAUGAAUAGACAGCAUUCAUACGCGGGUUCUGAGUCAUUCUGCAGACCUACUGCGUGCCCUGCCUUCUAGACUUCUGAUUGGAGAAGGUCUCCGCUUACCUUCCGCCCUGCCUUGCCACCGGAACCUCCCUCCCACCCUCCCUCUCUCAUUAGAACUUUUAUCUGGCGGCACCAUCACCCUGGGAGACUCCAAAACAGAAAACCAGACAGACAGUGGUUACAAAAUAAAAGACCUGUGUUUGCAGAGGAGUAGUCGACUAUGUCAUUGUUAUUCCCAAAGAUGGAAGGCAGAAUCAUCAGAAAUUACAGUGACAGGGGUUCCUGCUCGGUAGUAUGCCGAAAAGGGAGUUGAAAGGCACAAGUGCGGACAAGAGGAUCAAUCAAAGCUCCGUUCUGUUCCCAAUCCUUCCAGUCCCGAUGCUCCAGAGAGCAGGGGAGGCACCUGUACACAGGUACUGGGCAUGACUGAUGAGGCAGUGCCCAGGAGCCCAACUUCCUCGAAGCGAGAGAAAGGACAGAGAUGCUAAGAUCUGCACACUUCCACAUUUUAGAGAAUUUGGGAGACCCAUGUUGGAUGUGGACCGUGGUUCUUAUUGGUAUUAUUUUCUGAGUGGUAGAUGUGCUUAAUCCCAGCACCUGCCUAAACUGAUGACAACAGCGGCUUUCCUACUGGAAGGACAUUGCCACUUGAUAGCAUAUGCUGUACCUCGCUUGCAUGUCCCUGCUUCCAAGCUUUGGGGAUUUCUAGGAUUGUUUUCUCCUAGUUUCCUUGUGUCACGUGGGCUCCUUUAUAAAAUAUCCCCAUAUAAUAGUGCAUGAUGUGCUCUAUUACAAAACACAAAUGUGUCUGUCCAAGACAGCCUGGGGGCAGCGAGCUGGGGCGUGGCAAGGAGACCAACUGGAAUGACGGGAGAGCCCUAGUGGAUGCACAGUGCACCGCUCUUACACCACAAGCCUCCCGCCCCAGCAUGAUUUAACCCGUGAAGAAAGCAGAGCAUUUAAUAUGUUCUACAGAUGUUUUAAAAAAGGAAUAACGGCGCUUGUCCCAAGUGUGGGAUGGAGGCACACACUCUUCUGAGAUGUGAAGCAAAUUUCAUAUCUCAAAAGAGAAAAAGGACAACAGUUCCUGCUCAGUCACCAAGUCUGAUUCUCAACCCUGGAACGCCUCAGCCUGCCUGAGCCCAGAAAUGAGGCUCCUUGUGAACACUAUGGAAAUGCAAUGGCUGUUUUGAUUUUCCAUAAUGGACAGCACACUGGUCCAGGAGGCAUAUCCAAUCUAAAUGAACUAGCAUCUGUGAAACUUCCUAGCACAGUCCCAGCACAUCGCAGGAGCUGAACUAAUGUUCUUUUCCCUUCCCAAGGAACCCUGAAGCCUUUGAAGGAACCGUGAUUGGGAAGGCAUCAGCAUUUGCUUUUCGCUGGUAUAAAUUUGGACCACUGGUCUGCCCGGGGUGUCCCCUGCCAGUGGUCGUGGACUGCUAGGGAAGCACAGCACACCCCCCAACACCCCCCCGCAAGGAAGACCCCUCAUUGCCCACCAAUGUCCUCUUUCUGGCGUCCCUCACGUUCCUGGCCGAGACCCUCCGUUCAGUCACGCCAUGAGGUCAGGGCCACGGUUGCCAUUGUCUGCUGGAAGCCAGUGCAGCACUUGGAGCUUAGAAGAUGCACACAACUCUUUGUUAAAGAACAAAGAAAUGGGAGAAACUUUUUAAAAGAAAAUAAACAGAGAGAAAGAGGGUGAGACGAAGACUGUGGCUGAGGCUUUGUUUUCAGGCCGAAAGCAGGACACUCAGCUCAUUCUCAAUGAAACUUCAACAUCGAUAAUUCAAAUGUCUUAGAAAUUGUACAUUGGAAGGGGAAAUAAAAUGAUUUUUCAGCUCUUUUAGGCUUACAGAUACCUAAAUGAAGCAUAGAUUGUAGAAUGUUGUUCAGAAGGGAAUUAAAUUUGGAUUUCAUCCUUCCCAGGGACUGGGGGCACUGCUUGUCACUUUGACUCAAAUGGAGAGUCCCUGCCACUGCUUGCUUGCCUUCAUCUGACCACACUGUGCUAAGCGCCCAGCCCCAGGGUAUAGCUGAGCCCUGCACCAGCUGCAGUGAACCGCUUGGCCGGGUGCCCUCUUAGAUCCUCCCUGCCCUGUUCCCUGGCUCUCUGUCCCCUGCGGUCCUCUUCUCUAGGACUGUUGAAACUUCUCCGCAUCUGGUCAGCUUCACACAAAAGGGCUCCUAUUUUACAGGCUGAGAGCCCCUUCCUGUGUGUUGUCAAAACUGACACAUCGCAUUGCUUAGGUUUAAUCUUCAGGUACUUUUUCUGUUUUUUUACCUAUAAAAUUAAUAUAAGCAUAUGCUCCCGUAAUCAACACAAUUUAGAUAAAGCAAGAGUUCCUCUGGGCCCUCCCACUUCCAUUUGCAUUUUCUUUUCUGUGGACUAACUGGUCAUCUUCUUUAUCCACUUGUCUAUGAGGUUGUUGAUCUUGGUCUUUUUUCUUAUUAACAGAUAGGAAUUCUUCAUAGAGCCUAGAUAACAAUCCAGAAUUCAUGUGUAUACGCACGCAUUUAUCUAUAUGUAUAUGUAUAAGCACAUUACACACAUACAUUUGCACACAUACAAAUGUUAGAAAUAUCUUCUCCAACUCUGUUGCUUGUCUUUUAUCUCAGCUUAUAGAGGUUUCCGAUUUUGAAUCAGAAGUUUCACAUUUCAUUGAAGGUAGACAUCACUCUUUCUCUAUUUGCUUUUGUGAUUUGUGUCUUGCUCAAGGCCUUCCCUGUCCUACCCCCAUGUCAAAAGCAUGUUCUCCACUAUUUUCUUUCAGUCCUUAAUCUUUCUUCCGUAGGUAGCCAAUGUCCAGCACGUUUGGUAAUGACACCUCCUCGGUGAAGCGCAAGGCCACCUUGACCCCAGCUCCCAUGGGUCUGUCUUCAGGGGAAUUUUGAGGUUGUUUUUGCUGCAGGGUGUCAGGAACUCCUUCCUCUCUGAUUCUUGGAAAAGUUUACUGUUUGCUGCUGGCUUUGUGGUCUCUCCUCCCUGUGCAGGUAGGGUGUGGAGGGUAAUCAGAGUCAGUCCAGAGGUUGCUCAAAGUUUCAGUUUAUCUCCAGCCACUAUUUGCUAACUCAUCUGAGAAUUCUGCCAAGAUAAACAUCAGACAGACCCUCCUAUGGUUCAAUCAGUCUGCUCCUGGGAAAAUUAGGACAUGUGUCUGCCCGGCUCUGCUGGUGUUCCUGAGAGUGACUGGUCUCUGUGUGACCUUUCAUUGGCCAGGCUCCCCCAAGGGAAACGUCCACCAGCAGAAAAAGUAGGAAAAAAAUCCCUUUAUGCAGAGAAAAUACACUGCAGAAACAAACAUAGUCUAACCCUGCCUUUUAAAACAUAGCUUUUAGACUGAAAGAGUUCACCCUUCCUCUCUCCACCUGGUCACUCUUGGGAUGACAAUUUCAAAUCCCACAUAACAUUCACAGUGUGUUAUUCCCAUGCAAUUACCUUGUUAGGUUUCAUACAUUUAGAACACGGAGGGGGACAGGGGAUGCUUCUCCGCAGUCUCUUCGUUAUUGGGACAUACUCCAACGCUCAGACAGCUCCACAAUGCACCUUUCUCCCACUCUUCAUUCCUUUUCUGGCAACACUCUUUCUCUCUCAGAGGAUUUUAAAAACAUGUCUUGUUACAAAAAGCAAAGAAUGACAGUUGCUUCAGAAAAAUACCCAACUGAAAGAUCCACUCCCUGACCAUGGAGAGCUCACUACAGAUCUAGAAACGCGAGGCAGAGACUUGAAGAUGCUGCACACAUCCUGUGUGGGAGUGGGAGAAAAGCUGCUGCUUCCUUAGCAUUAAAACAGACAGGGUCAUUUCAGCCUUGCAGGGGAUGACCAGCCCUCACUGGAAUUAUGUGAUGGCAUCACAUUUGCUCCUCAUGUAAACAUUCCAGCGGGAGAACGACUGCUCCCUGAAGACACUCAUGGUGUGAUAAACAGCAGUCAGUGGAAUCAAGGCAGGGGCGAGGUCCUCUUCCUUCUGCCUCCUUCUCACCAUGGCACCUUGAGAGAGGCCCUUUGUCCCUCGGGUUUUUCCAUUUUCUCAUUUGCAAAAUGAAGAGGAUCCCAUCUACACCGUCGUGUUUAGAAAUGACACAAGAUCACAAAAACCUCUGCCGCCUCGAAGAUACAGAAUUGCUGGUGAGGCUCGUUGUCUGAGAGCCGGGCUCUGCUCCCCUCGGGGCCAAGUCUACCAAUUGUUCUUUGGAAAACAAAAGCUGGAGGCAUUAAAACUGGGCUGUUCCAAGUGUUCUUUACGUUUUAUAAAUUUUAUAAGGUGAAACUCAAUAUUUAGAUGAUUGGUAGAAACGUCUCUUGGGGGCUUUAUGGUUUUCUAACAUAGAGUGGGGGGACAUGUUACCUCGGCAGGAGCAUGUGGGCUGAGAGGAGGGAACCACAUCAGGGAGGCCGGUGACUGGAGAGGGAAGUCCUCCUCCUGUGGAGGGCCUGGCCCUCAUGGAUUCCCCACUUCCAGGCAACUUUGUGACCUCAGAGAAGCUAACCUGAUGUGCAUGCUACUGACGUUGCCCAUGCCGCUCCUGCUGGCUGAUGGAACUAUCUGUCUGGAGUCUGUGGAUGGCAGACCUCCUGAUUGUGUGGAGCGUGAGUUUUUCGAAAGAGAUCUCUCACUUUCAUCCAGGCUGGAGUGUAGUGGCACACACCACCACACCAGGAUAAUUCUU
rnacentral:lncRNA from 10 species